GACGAACCGUGCGAACGUUGUUCGGAAUCACUGGGCUUAAAGGGCGCGUAGGCGGCUCGCGAGGUCGGGGGUGAAAUCCCACGGCUUAACCGUGGAAGGGCCUUCGAUACCGGCGGGCUGGAGGAAGGUAGGGGUGCGCGGAACUUCUGGUGGAGCGGUGAAAUGCGUUGAUAUCAGAAGGAACGCCGGCGGCGAAAGCGGCGCACUGGACCUUUUCUGACGCUGAGGCGCGAAAGCCAGGGGAGCAAACGGG
rnacentral:rRNA from 1 species